CCUACGGGAGGCAGCAGUGAGGCAUAUUGGUCAAUGGACGAGAGUCUGAACCAGCCAAGUAGCGUGAAGGAUGACUGCCCUAUGGGUUGUAAACUUCUUUUAUAUGGGAAUAAAAUGUUCCACGUGUGGGAUUUUGUAUGUACCAUAUGAAUAAGGAUCGGCUAACUCCGUGCCAGCAGCCGCGGUAAUACGGAGGAUCCGAGCGUUAUCCGGAUUUAUUGGGUUUAAAGGGAGCGUAGGUGGAUUGUUAAGUCAGUUGUGAAAGUUUGCGGCUCAACCGUAAAAUUGCAGUUGAAACUGGCAGUCGUGAGUACAGUAGAGGUGGGCGGAAUUCGUGGUGUAGCGGUGAAAUGCUUAGAUAUCACGAAGAACUCCGAUUGCGAAGGCAGCUCACUGGACUGCAAAUGACACUGAGGCUCGAAAGUGUGGGUAUCAAACAGGAUUAGAUACCCGAGUAGUC
rnacentral:rRNA from 1 species